rnacentral:rRNA from 1 species
ACUCCUACGGGAGGCAGCAGUAGGGAAUAUUGCACAAUGGGGGAAACCCUGAUGCAGCCAUGCCACGUGUGUGAAGAAGGUCUUCGGAUUGUAAAGCACUCUCAGUGGGGAGGAAAAACUGACGUUACCCACAGAAGAAGCACCGGCUAACUCCGUGCCAGCAGCCGCGGUAAU